GAUUGAAAUUUUUUGAAGAUUUGAAACAGCACGUGUCUACUCUCGGAAAAAUAGUAAUCGAGGGUCUCUUGGAAUGUGGAAGAGAAGCUCCUCCCCCUUUUUCGAAGACGGUUAAGCAGAAAUCUUAAAAGCUGGACUAAAAGAUGGAGGAAGAAUAUCUCAUGGGGAAAAUGCUUCGUAACCCAAAUUAUCUUUUAGAUUAUUCAAGUACACUGUGACACAAACGAUAAACGAUAGUGUUUCCCCCCCCUAAACCAAGAUACGGUAAAAUGAGCAGAAGCAAUGAACAUAAAAAUCAAAGUUUCCGAACUGGAAAUCGUCCAUUGCUGUAACUUUUGUCAAGCAGUAAAAGAAGCAGGUGCACGUGGAAGGGGGAGAGAGAGAGAGAGAGAGAAAAUUUCCAAGAAGGGAAAGUCGCGCGUCCAAUUACAACACGAACACAUAUAAAACAAGUGAAUUGUCUCCUCGAAAUACAGGAUUGCUUCGUAUCAUGAGAGAAAAAUAGAUUCGAAAAAUAAUUGUCCAAAGCAUAUACCAACUCGCGACAAUUGCCUGCAUUUAACAAAAUCAAAACGUUUAUUAAGAUAACCAAUAAUACUGAGAACGUUGCGUAAUAAGUUUGAGUGAAAUCGAUUUAAAAUUCGAACAAUAUUUCGUAAGAUGCUAUAUCGAAUAAAAAUCUUUCGUUAUGCUUGUUUAAAGAUUUUGCCUGUACCCAGUUUUCAUGUACCAAAAAUGCUAUAAAUAAAUGGGAUGUAGGCCUACUGAUCGAGUCCAUACGGGAUUGUACAACUUCUCUCCAUAAAAGUAGUCCUCUGUUUUAUGUGUUACAAGGUGUUAACAAACGAUAAUUACCGGACAAUAAGCACGCACACUUUCUACGAGAGAAAGAUAUAUGAAAUUAUAUAGACUGAACGUAGGCACACGUCGUACCAAAACGUCGCUUUUCGUGAGAGGCAAUCUAUUAUUUUGACACCUACCGAACCGAAGCAUGCUAGAUAAUCCUAAGAAAACGAUUCGACAACGUGGCGACUAAAAAUAUAAAAUUAAUUAUACUUCAUCGCACAUAAUAUCGUGACACGGACGCUAUAAAAAGCGUGCAGGGGAAUUCGGUGUCUCGAGUAACGUGAACCGUGCCUAAGGAAGAAACAAUCCUUAACAGAGGACAGAAGAUGGGAAAAAAAAGAACUUCGGAUGACUUACGUUCACGAUGCUGUAGCCAGGAUUCUCCGACAGAAGAAAUCCCACGAGAUCAACGCACUUCACACCACGCCACUAUUCGUCACCAUUAUAACAAGAGAGGAGCCGAAUUGUUAUCAUUUCACUGGCGUCAUUCUAAUUAACAGGUCCCAUAAGAUACAAGCCGUCAAGAUACCGUCGUUACUCCGCGCCGUUUGCCGCGCAUCUACCAAAUACAUACCUGUUGCAGUACCAUAGUUCUCCCACCAAUGGCGGCGGCUACGCGCUGAUUGACCUAACGUUGGCCAAUUAAACGCCGACUUUUCGAGCGCCGGCAAAUCACGAAGCUGAUAGUUUUCGCGCCGUCGAUCAAACUGGGCCAGUCGAAGAUAAGAAAGUAGACAGAUAAGAGAAAUAUACAGACUGUUUCAUAAAUAAUAAAAGCUUUUCUAAUUAUA